AUUCAACCUCCCCUCCAACUGACUUUCAUUUUUCAUUCUCUAAUAUCUAUUUCAGACAUGAUCCGGAGUUUGCAGUCCGUUAGUAUGCAUUACUAAUCAACAGAGACAAGGAAAAGGAGUCAUGAAGGGGACUUUACUAAAGUGAGAGCAAAACAGUGCUUUGAUCAUUUUACUGAUCUAAUGCAAAUCACCUUGAGUGUCAUUGCUAUUUACACCUCAGAGUGAAGCAAGACUCUGACAAGUGGUCCUGAAAUGGAUGACAAAAGCAAGAGUUGAAGAGAUAUGAGUACUUGGAGGUAGGUUUGAUCUGACUGUGCUAAAGGAGGAACAGGA
rnacentral:lncRNA from 12 species